CACGUAGUUAGCCGGGGCUUUCUGGCGAAGUACCGUCAAUUUACCAUCAUUACCUAUGGUAAGGUUUCUUCCUUCGCAACAGAGUUUUACAAUCAUUAUGACUGUCAUCACUCACGCGGCAUUGCUUGUUCAGGGUUUCCCCCAUUGACGAAUAUUCCUAACUGCUGUCUCCCGUAGGAGUCUGGGCCGUGUCUCAGUCCCAGUGUGUCCGAUCAGCCUCUCAGCUCGGAUAUGCAUCGUUGUCUUGGUAGGCCUUUACCCACCAACUAACUAAUACACCGCAGGCCCAUCUCAAAGUGAAGCCAAAGCUCCUUUUAGCACAGUUACUUUUGUAUCUGUGAAUCAUCUGGUAUUAGCUAUCGUUUCCAAUAGUUAUCCCAGUCUCUGAGGUAGGUUACCCACGUGUUACUCACCCGUCUGCCACUAAGUGGAUAUCCAUUUCCAACUUUUGUGUCAAGCACUCCAUCUUCUAUGGGCCACUUCGUUCACUUGCAUGU
rnacentral:rRNA from 1 species